rnacentral:rRNA from 2 species
UACGUAGGGUGCAAGCGUUAAUCGGAAUUACUGGGCGUAAAGGGUGCGCAGGCGGUAUUGUAAGCCAGAUGUGAAAUCCCCGGGCUCAACCUGGGAACUGCGUUUGGAACUGCAAUGCUAGAGUGUGUCAGAGGGGGGUGGAAUUCCACGUGUAGCAGUGAAAUGCGUAGAGAUGUGGAGGAACACCGAUGGCGAAGGCAGCCCCCUGGGAUAACACUGACGCUCAGGCACGAAAGCGUGGGGAGCAAACAGG